UACAUAGCUGAGACAGUGAUGCAAUACUGCAUUUCUCUAAAUCUGAUGAAGAAACAAACUCAACUACAUCAUGUCCUGAGUGGGAGUCAUAUUUUAUUUUUUGGCGGACUAUUAAGUCAUUUUGCAGUAUUUCUUCACAAUUCCAUUCAUAACAUAGUGUUUCGCGAUCUCCAUGAUGAAUUCCUUGAUUUACUGUGUUCUUUCUGGAUGACAUGGGGCUAGUUUUUGGCUUUGGUGGGAAUCAAAUGGUUUCGGUCUCUCCCUCCUCCCAAAGCUCUUCACAGUGACUCAUCUGUCCAGCUGCAGGACGGACCGAGAACAAAAAGCGCUUCUGUACCAGCUGGAGACAGCGCAUACUUCUUCACGGGCACCAGCUUCACAUCACAUACACACGCAUGAGUUAUGCUUCCGCUUUACAUUUCCCAUGAGAGAAAUAUGUUGGGAAUUUCCUCAUUAAGAUUCCUGAAACGCAAUCUUUGGUUACUGCUUUGAUUCAUAUGUUCUGGACAGUUCAGAAGAAAUAACAAGCAUUGCAAAAUAAUUUGAAGUGGUAUUCUGUCCUUAUCAAAUCAGUUUCGGUUUACAGAGCUUCAUAUAAGGGAGUCUUUGGUAUAUCUACUAUUUAAAAAAAAGAAAAGAAAAAGAAAAAAAAAACACCAUUUAAAGGAAUAAUUCACCAAAAAGAACAAGUCUUUCAUAAUUUACCCUCAUGUCAUUCCAAACCGAGGUGACUUUUCUUCCAUGGAAAGCAUACUUAUAACCUCUUCUACAAAUAUAUUUUGCUAUUUUUUAGGAGUAUAAAAUAAAAAUGGCAGAGUGAUGAAUGAUAUAAUAAUGAAGAACAGUUGUUUCAUUAAAAGGAUGAGUUUCAUGUGCAAAAAAACUCACUUUUGUGUUCCACCGCAUAACAAGAUUUACUGAACCACUGCACACGUAUCACAUAUUUAGCAUUGUAUUUGCUCCGCAUCUUGCUUUUUAACCACAAAAACACAUUCUGUGUGAACGGCCCUUAAGGGGUUUUUGAAUUCCACGGUGCGGCUUUUCCAAUAGUUUCUAUGUAAACCCUAUUAGACGGACGUCUUGGACUGUUGCAUUUGCUGCGCUCAGGUUAAAAGAUCAUCCUUUUUUUUUUUUUUAUGCCAGAAUGUGUUCUGUGUGAAAGACCCCCAAGUAAUUUAGUAUAUAUAAUAAUUUAGGAAAAUAAGCAGUGAAGCCGUUUUGUUGUUGUUUAGUUUGUCAAAUUACGGUCAUGUGGUGCAACAAAUGUGUAGAACUAGGGGUUGGAAAAAAACACCACCAACAGGAAAUGAUGUCAUAGAAAGCUCACCUACAGACCCUCGUGACUAUGUAUUGUGUUAAAUACCUGUAUGAUACUUUCAGCUGUUCAUUAUAGAGCACUUCAGAAGAUUUGGAUUUGGACAAUUCAUGUAGUUUACUUUUAUGAUGUCCUUUUGUACUUUUUAAUGCAUGGAAGUUGUGUGCGCAAAUUAAAAAAUAUCUUCAAGGGUGAGGGUUGGUAAAUGAUGACAGAAAUGAUAUAUUUGGGGAAACUAUCCCUUUACAAAUGUUUUAAUACCCUGGUCAUUGUCUACUUUUGUUGUAUAGAACAGAGCAGCAUGGACAUUUUUCUAAUUGUCUUCUUUAGUUUUUUCCUCUUUAAGAAAGGCAUACAGGUUUGAAACGAAGUGAGAUUUGGUAAAUAAUCAGAGAAUAUUUCAGCUUAAGUGAACUAGUAAUUGCCUUAUUUAAUUGUAAUAGAGCUUCGCCCUUUGCUUUUGCUUCUUGUUAAUCUCCAUGGUUUAAAUCAGUAUUGCUAGUCUGAAUCUUUCUGUCCUGUUCUGCUUGAAAUCUUCACGGUUGCAUGUUUUGUGUCCGAGCCAUUAGCAUUCCAGUCACAGACAGAUCAAUCAAGAAAAAAAUAGUCCAUUUCAAUGGAUCAAACUGACAAUUUAGCUCCCAGAUGAACUGUUGUUCAGUUGCACGGAGCGUCUUAUUGCUUCAUGAUUACAUCAGAGUCAGUGCAGUGUUUGUAGGGCACUUAAAAGAUGACGAACCUGAUGAAAAACACGAACUCAUUCGAAACAAGAUCUGUUUAAUAUUUGGAGGGAAUGUUGGUUCAGCUUUAUGAUCCGAUCCCAAAGUGCAUUUUUAACCCUUUUCCUAGAGUCUGGUUUGGAAAGUAACAGCAUUCAAUAGAAAAGGAAUGUGCUUUUUCAGAUUCUCAGAGAUGGUUAAAGGUCACUGGACUCGUUUGGGUGAACGAGCGGCCCCCAAACAAGCAUAAAGUUGGUGCCUCUCCACGGUGGGAUCGCUUGCCGUUUGAUUUCUUUUGUGACUCUUCCAAGCGUCCAUUCCUCCCCCAAACACCCCGACAACUCCUGCCCACCCCAGCCCCAUGCACUCUUCAGUUUUUGUGUGCUGCUCAAACCCUGGUCAUGUGACUUCUGUCCCAGCACAAUCGAGGCUCCUCGCCAUUGGUCGGUUGCUUUGAAAAAGCAUCGGUUUCCCAGGUAACGGAAUGGCGGCUCCACUUCAGAUCGUCUCCUAACGUUUCACAGGGACUCUCACGGACAGGAUCAGGUGCCUGCGACGGUCUCUCGCGCUCAGACCAGUCUCGCGCUUUCUAAAGACAGCGUUAAAGGGGGGACGAAAUUGGGUACAACACCUGGAUGCAGAUCUUCUGGUGCUAACUGAAACCUGGCCUCGCCCUGAGAUGCUCAGCUCGUUGAUAGAGGCCACUGCUAUACAAGCCCAGCCAGUCCGCUCAACCUCCCAGUAAUGACGUCCAGUCAGACUCUCUCGACACAGAACCUGAGGAAUAUCUUUAAAUCUCUCUGGAUGAUCAGGAUACGGCUGCGGCUGUUCC